ensembl:lncRNA novel transcript
GGGUCAAAGGUCAUCGCAAUGGCCGGGAAGAACUUCCUCUUCCUUGGCUCUCCCCACUUACUUCCUGAUAACCUGAGUUGAAGUCGGUGAAGACAUUCAUGAUUUAAACACCAGAUCCUGAAAGGCAUUAAAUCUACUUUGAAAUGAAUCUGCAAUCAGUAUUUCAAAGCUUUUCUGUUAGCCACAGUCAAUGAACAACCCCUUCAGAAUGGCUUUGAAGAGCUGAUCCUGUGGACAAAAGAGGGGAAACUGUGGGAGUUCCCAGUUAACAAUGAAGCAG